rnacentral:rRNA from 1 species
UAAGCAGAUAGUGAAAUCAUGUGGCUCAACCAUUAUGGCUAUUACCUGAACUGGCAUACUCGAGAGUAGUAGAGGUACCUGGAAUUUCUAGUGUAGGGGUGAAAUCCGUAGAUAUUAGAAGGAACACCAAUGGCGUAGGCAGGGUACUAGACUAUUUCUGACGCUAAGGCACGAAAGCGUGGGGAGCGAACCGGAUUAGAUACCCGGGUAGUCCACGCCGUAAACUAUGGAUGCUA